rnacentral:lncRNA from 1 species
AAGAGUAGAAAUGGGAAGACUUGGUUGUGCAGUAACUGAGUUCUUGAAAAGAGGAGAUGCUUGAUGAGGGCAUGGAUCACGAAGGUCUGUUCCCAAUACGAGAAGACUAUUUGACAUCAUGAUAAAACACUGCAGAUACGAUGCUGAGUGAAAAAGAGUAGAAAUGGGAAGACUUGCUCGUGCAGAAACUGAGUUCUUAAAGAGAGGAGAUAGUUUAUGAGGGCAUGGAAAUCUAAGGUCUUUCCGGAAUACUACAAGAGUACUUGACAUCAUAAUAAAACACUGUAGAUAUGAUGCUGAGUAAGAGUAGAAAUGGGAAGACUUGGUUGUGCAGAAACUAAGUUAUUAAAAGGAGGAGAUGCUUGAUGAGGACUGACUCUCAUUCUGUCACCCAGGCUGGAGUGCACUGGAGCAAUCUUGGCUGGUCAAUACUGAGUUCUUGAAAAGAGGAGAUGCUUGAUGAGGAUGGGAUCAUCUAGUUGCAGGAAAACAAGGCUCAGGGUGCCUACUGAUUCUACAUUACGUUGCAGGGCUUUGACUCCUGGGUACAUGUAUCUCAUCUGAAAGGGAAUCCUGACGCCUACUGAAUCUUAACAGUCAACGUUGAUAUCUGGCAUACAUGUAUCUCAUCUGAAAGGGAAUCCUGACGCCUACUGAAUCUUAACAGUCAACGUUGAUAUCUGGCAUCAAAUUCAAGUUGACCAAAGUUCCAUCUUCAGACCUGGGAGAAGAUGACAGUCAAAAUGAACUACUUUCAUGUGACACUGGACCAGGCCUAUAUACAAAGGCAUAAAUAAUCAUUGAAUAAUGUUUCAUCUAUCUAUCUUAAUAUAAUUUGUUCUAUGCCUUACUAGAUAAAUGUUUAUAGUUACCUGUGAGUUUUCUUUUCCUGCCAUUGUCAGAGCUAGGCAGGGCUUAAGUCCCUUUUGUUUAAACAUUACUAACUCGAUACAUAGCUUGCAAAAUUGGGUAAAACAACAAAGGUUACUUUUUCACUCUCUCUCUGCUUAAUAUCUCUGAAAUUUAAAACUAUUCAGAAUCCCACUGGGCCCGAUCUAUUUUCAAUGCUAAUGCUCCACUGCUAAAACUAUAUAAGCACCUUCCCUCUAGGCUCAGGCACUAUCUUGGAAGAGGUAAGUGUGUCAGAUUGUAAAGGUUGAUUUUUGAGCAACAAAAUUAAUUUAGAUCUUCCAAAUAAAAAAUGGGCACACAGAUGCCCAAACAGUUGGCAAAAUAAGAUACUUUACCUCCUGGACCAGUAUGUGGUCCUUUUUCAUCCAUCCCAACCAUAAUUUCCUCUUUCCUGUAGAAUUAAAAGAAAAUUACAAAGAGGAUAUGAACAUAUCUGCUAACAAAACCUCCUGGGUAUAGUGCUCCCAGUUAUGAGAUUUAUGCAGAUUGUUAUAUAAAGUUUUUUUAAAUCAAGCACCUUAGGACAAACUAUUAAAAAGACUGCUAAAAGCGUUGUGACACAACAAAAGUCUCUAAAUUCUGUAGCUUAAAAAAUUUUAACAAAAUACUUAUCUUUUGCAAGCUAAUUGCUACAAGUCUAUAACUAAAACAUGUAUUGACUGAUGUCUUAGGUCUCCCUAAAAUAUAGAAAACCAAGUUGUAAACCAAUCACCUUGAGCACAUGUUCUCAGGACCUCUGGAGACUGUGCCUUGGGCCAUGGUCACUCAUAUUUGGCUGAGAAUAAAAUUUA